AGAAGUGCAGUCCAACGGUCAUAUCUGCCUCGGGACAAGAAAACACAUGCACCAAUGGUCCCUCUCCUCCCAAGAGGCAGAAAGUGGAUUGCUCUGCCCCUGCCCCUGAAGUCGAGACAGGAGGGCCAAAGGUCAUGUUUACUCUCUACCCCAAGUCACAGGUGUCAAAAUUGGAGAAUAUUGUGAAGAUGCUGGGAGGUACGGUCGUGACCAACCC